rnacentral:rRNA from 1 species
GGACGAACGCUGGCGGCGUGCCUAAUACAUGCAAGUUGAGCGAUGAAGAUUGGUGCUUGCACCAAUUUGAAGAGCAGCGAACGGGUGAGUAACGCGUGGGGAAUCUGCCUUUGAGCGGGGGACAACAUUUGGAAACGAAUGCUAAUACCGCAUAACAACUUUAAACAUAAGUUUUAAGUUUGAAAGAUGCAAUUGCAUCACUCAAAGAUGAUCCCGCGUUGUAUUAGCUAGUUGGUGAGGUAAAGGCUCACCAAGGCGAUGAUACAUAGCCGACCUGAGAGGGUGAUCGGCCACAUUGGGACUGAGACACGGCCCAAACUCCUACGGGAGGCAGCAGUAGGGAAUCUUCGGCAAUGGACGAAAGUCUGGCCGAGCAACGCCGCGUGAGUGAAGAAGGUUUUCGGAUCGUAAAACUCUGUUGGUAGAGAAGAACGUUGGUGAGAGUGGAAAGCUCAUCAAGUGACGGUAACUACCCAGAAAGGGACGGCUAACUACGUG